GAGAGGGUGUGUGUGUGUGUGAGAGAGAGAGGGUGUGUGUGUGUGUGAGAGAGAGAGGGUGUGUGUGUGUGUGAGAGAGAGAGGGUGUGUGUGUGUGUGAGAGAGAGAGGGUGUGUGUGUGUGUGAGAGAGAGAGGGUGUGUGUGUGUGUGAGAGAGAGAGGGUGUGUGUGUGUGUGAGAGAGAGAGGGUGUGUGUGUGUGUGAGAGAGAGAGGGUGUGUGUGUGUGUGAGAGAGAGAGGGUGUGUGUGUGUGUGAGAGAGAGAGGGUGUGUGUGUGUGUGAGAGAGAGAGGGUGUGUGUGUGUGUGAGAGAGAGAGGGUGUGUGUGUGUGUGAGAGAGAGAGGGUGUGUGUGUGUGUGAGAGAGAGAGGGUGUGUGUGUGUGUGAGAGAGAGAGGGUGUGUGUGUGUGUGAGAGAGAGAGGGUGUGUGUGUGUGUGAGAGAGAGAGGGUGUGUGUGUGUGUGAGAGAGAGAGGGUGUGUGUGUGUGUGUGAGAGAGAGAGAGAGAGAGAGAGAGAGAGUGUGUGUGUGUGUGUGUGUGUGUUUGUACUGAAAUGAAGGCAGGCGGAGCUCAUGACGACAGCGGGCUUCUGUUAUAACUAAGCACCGUUUGUUUUGGUGACAGUCUCCUUCAGUUCCUCUGCAGUUGUCCGUGAAUAUGGCGCUUGUUUGGAGGAAUAUACUCAUACUUGUGUUUGCGCACUUUGUCGUGUCUCAAAGACGUAGUCCCAUUCGAUGUGGCGAACCAACAAAAUAUCCUGACAAGCAUCUGCUCAAAAAAUAUCUCCAGAAAGUAGAGUUCAAUGAUGGAGAAAAAGUGUUGUAUACAUGUGCCCUGGGUUACGAACCAUCAGCAGGAAGUCGAACAUCACAGUGUGUGCAUGGACAAUGGACAACCUUGAACAUGAAAUGCCAAAGUAAGAUGUAUCUGUUUAUCUGUCUCUAAAAUAUCUCUUUUAUUCAUUCAUUGUACCCCACGUUUUCAUAUUUUCUCAUUUAUUCUCUCAGAGAAGAAGUGCAAUGCGCUGGGUGACAUAGAGAACGGGCGAUACAAUCAAGAAGGGCGAUCAUUUGGCGAUAAAGCCAUUGCUGUGUGUAAUGAAGGGUAUUUGAAUCUUUUUUUUCUUUUUUUUAAGUCUGCAGUCCAUAAAUUGGUGAACAUAUU
rnacentral:lncRNA from 1 species